GGACCCGUAGGGUAGGGGACAUCCUGAGGGGCUUCGGACCCCUCGACCCGGGUUCAAAUCCCGGCGGGUCCG
rnacentral:tRNA from 1 species